UUUUUAGUUUUUGUGGGCGUUUGGUGGAUGCCUUGGUGCCUAGAGCUGAUGAAGGACGUUGUGGCCUGCGAUAUUCCCUGGGGAGUUGGCGAGCGAGCGUUGAUCCGGGGGUUUCCGAAUGGGGUAACCUGACAGGUUUUGUGGCCUGUUACCACUGCUUGAAUGUAUAGGGUGGUGGGGGGAACGUGGGGAAGUGAAACAUCUUAGUACCUGCAGGAAGAGAUAUUCUGUAAGUAGUGGCGAGCGAAAGCGGAUGAUGGCUAAACUGUGUGCGUGUCAAGGCGGCAGCUGUUGCGCAUGUGGGGUUGUUGGGGCGUGUUUUUCCAUUCUCUGCCGGGGGUGGGGGUAGUUAUA
rfam:Actinomyces sp. S6-Spd3 contig182, whole genome shotgun sequence.